rnacentral:rRNA from 1 species
UACGUAGGGUGCAAGCGUUGUCCGGAAUUAUUGGGCGUAAAGAGCUCGUAGGCGGUCUGUCGCGUCGGCUGUGAAAACCCGGAGCUCAACUCCGGGCCUGCAGUCGAUACGGGCAGACUGGAGUUCGGCAGGGGAGACUGGAAUUCCUGGUGUAGCGGUGAAAUGCGUAGAGAUCAGGAGGAACACCGGUGGCGAAGGCGGCCCACUGGGCAGUCACUGACGCUGAGGCGCGAAAGCUCGGGGAGCGAACGGG